GCCAGAGUAGCUCAGUUGGGAGAGUGUUAGACCGAAGCUCUAAAGGUACCUGGUUCAAUCCCUGGCUUUGGCA